UUUCCGUAGGUGAACCUGCGGAAGGAUCAUUAACACAAACUGCGGAUGCGGAUGUGCACGUCGCCCCCUAACCGGGGACCCACGAUUGCUGCUGCCGCGCCGCACUUGGAUCCAAUCCAUUUAUCCCUGUGAACUGUUAAAGUCUUUACAUUGUGCUAUUAACGCCGUGUAAUCCGCUUUGACUGAAAUCUAUUUGCUAUGCUCGUGCCUCACGGCGCCUGCCUACGCAAAAAUCCUAACCAGAAACAACUCUUAACAACGGAUAUCUUGGUUCUC
rnacentral:misc_RNA from 1 species